GCUACUGAGCAUAGCCAUCAUCACACACCUCUCUCUCUCUCUCUCUCUCUCUCUCUGAGCUCGCUCGUCGUGUUCAUGGUGGGGAAGACCUCGGGGGACGUUCGGUUGAAGUGACGCAAGGAUCUGCGCUGCUCGAAUUUCGCCAUGGGAGCAAGCAGGAAACUGCAGGGGGAGAUCGACAGAGUGUUGAAGAAGGUGCAGGAAGGCGUGGAUGUCUUCGACAGCAUCUGGAAAAAGGUUUAUGACACCGAUAACGCGAACCAGAAGGAGAAGUUCGAGGCGGACUUGAAGAAGGAGAUUAAGAAGCUCCAGAGGUACAGAGACCAGAUCAAGACAUGGAUCCAGUCCAGCGAAAUUAAGGACAAGAAGGUUAGUGCCUCUUAUGAGCAGGCUCUGGUGGAUGCACGCAAGCUCAUUGAACGUGAAAUGGAGAGAUUCAAAAUUUGUGAGAAGGAGACUAAAACGAAAGCCUUUUCUAAAGAAGGGCUUGGCCAACAGCCUAAAACCGACCCAAAGGAGAAAGCUAAAUCUGAAACAAGGGAUUGGUUGAACAAUGUGGUCAGCGAGUUGGAGACCCAGAUUGAUGUUUUUGAAGCAGAAAUUGAGGGUCUUUCAGUUAAAAAGGGGAAGACGAAGCCACCAAGACUGGCACACUUGGAGACAUCUAUUACACGGCACAAGGCUCAUAUAAUGAAGUUAGAAUUGAUUUUGAGACUUUUAGAUAAUGAUGAGUUGAGCUCCGAGCAGGUCAAUGAUGUCAAGGAAUUCCUGGAAGAUUAUGUGGAACGUAAUCAGGAUGAUUUUGAUGACUUUACUGAUGUGGAUGAGCUUUAUAGCUCUUUACCGUUAGAUGAGUCUCUCGAAGAACUGGUUACAGUUGCACCUGGCCUUCUCAAGGGAGCACCACUUAGCUUGAAAACUUCUACCGCAGCAGCACCACCCCAAGCAUUGGCUACUGCCAUUACUAUCCAAAAACAAGGUGCAUCAACCCAUGAUCAAGCUGAUGAUGCAAGCUCACAAGAGGGCAGUUCUGACAUUAAUGCAAAAUCGCCUCCUGCCAAAUAUUUAACAGCUGGUGUUGGAUCAAUACUUGCUAGUCCUCACUCUUCCCCUAUUGCAUCUAAUAUACAGUCUCCCCGCAUUUCUAGUGCUUCAAUGAUGGGAACAACCCCUCCUGGUUCAAGUUCAGUUCAUGGUUCCCUGGAAACUUCUGGCGCUCCUAAUUCUCCAUCUGCUACGAAACUUACUAGCCCUUCUAAAGAAGAACAAAGUAUCAACUUCUCUGCUCGCAGACCAUCUCCUUUAACAGGUGAUUCUGGAGCUCUGAGGGAAAGAGGUUCUACACCUACCGGAACCCUCAGUGCUAAACCUGCCUCCCCUGACAUGGCAAGGAAUUCUUUAGCAGCUGAUGACAGAUUCAGUAGUAGUGGCAUGAUGCAACCUCUAGUAUCUCCAUCAAGUGGUAGAACUCUCUUGCCUCACAUUGCAAAUGUUAAUGAUGGAGCCACUACAGUUGACUCUGUCGGUGCCACUGAUAAUACAGCCAUAGCAAGCAGAGUGGUUUCUCCUCCGGCUGUUUCAGGCAUGCAAUGGAAGCCUGGAAGUUCCUUCACGCAAAAUGAACUGGGGCAGGUUCGUGGUAGAGCUGAAAUAGCACCUGAUCAAAGGGAACGAUUUUUGCAACGUCUACAACAAGUGCAGCAACAGGGUCAGAGUAACCUUCUGGGCAUGCCUUCUUUUUCGGGAGGUAUUCAGAAACCACUUUCUUCACAUCAGCAAAAUCCACUAUCGCCGCAGCUUAAUUCUUCAGGCUCAUUGACUGCUCCUCAGGCAGGACUAGGGCUAGGAGCGCAGAAACCUAGCUUUAAUACUGUCACGGCUGCCUCCUUUCAGCUACAACCAAGUCCCAUUAACCCAAUGCCUAGUCCACGAACACCUGUAUCAACUGUUCCUAAAGAUUCUGAAGGUGGCCUCACAAAGGCAGAAGAGCUGCAAAUACAGCCAAAUAUGUCUGACGACACAAGUUCCGAAUCUAGUCCUGUUUCUGGAGCGGGCAAAAACACAAAUGAGGAUGACUUGAGAUCUCCAAAUUCCUUGGGUUCUCCUGCCAGAGCAUCUGCCUCUUUAGUGGAAUCCUCGGUGGAACUAUCCCCUGGACAACCUUUGCCAUCUCCUCAAGCUUCUACAACUCUUGGUGUUAUUGGUCGUAGAAGUGUGUCCGAUCUGGGUGCUGUUGGUGAAAUUCCUACCAGUGGAUCAACUAUGAGUAGUGUAGGCACAGAUGAUCAGUUAUACAAUCUACAGAUGCUUGAUGCUGCGUAUCGCAAACUUCCUCAGCCCAAAGAUUCGGAAAGAUUAAGGAGCUAUAUCCCUAGGAACCCUGCAGUCACACCGAAUAGCUAUCCACAAGUACAGGCACCGAUCGUGAAUAACCCUGCAUUUUGGGAACGUUUAAGCAAGGAGCCUUAUGGUGCUGAUACACUUUUCUUCGCAUUCUACUAUCAGCAGAAUACUUAUCAACAGUACCUUGCGGCAAAAGAAUUGAAGAAGCAGUCCUGGAGGUACCACAAGAAAUACAACACGUGGUUCCAGCGGCAUGAGGAACCAAAGAUCACCACUGAUGAAUACGAGCAGGGGACAUAUGUUUACUUUGAUUUCCAUAUUGCAAAUGGGGAAGUACAACAUGGAUGGUGUCAGAGGAUCAAGACUGAGUUCAGAUUCGAGUAUAACUAUCUUGAAGAUGAGGUGAUGUAGUGAAAGCCGUGCCAGAGAUUCUUCAAUAUCAUCCAUGACUUAAUGAUCUUGUAAGAUAGUGUACAAUACCGUUCCGUUCCCAGUCACCUAGAGAAAGAAUGGUAAAGUGCAAUGUAGAUGCUUUUUAGUCUUCCGUGUAACCUCUUCUCGGCAGCAGUUGUGUUCGUGUGUAAUAUCGACAUCAGAGACUAGUAAUCAGAAUAUCUGUUGAAGCAUCUCUUUCCCAUGUGUCUAUUCGUUCUAGUU